rnacentral:rRNA from 1 species
UACGUAGGGCGCAAGCGUUAUCCGGAAUUAUUGGGCGUAAAGAGCUCGUAGGCGGUUUGUCGCGUCUGCUGUGAAAGACCGGGGCUCAACUCCGGUUCUGCAGUGGGUACGGGCAGACUAGAGUGAUGUAGGGGAGACUGGAAUUCCUGGUGUAGCGGUGAAAUGCGCAGAUAUCAGGAGGAACACCGGUGGCGAAGGCGGGUCUCUGGGCAAUAACUGACGCUGAGGAGCGAAAGCGUGGGGAGCGAACAGG